UUUCCUUCUUUUUUUUUUUUUUGGUUUUU
rnacentral:sRNA from 1 species